AGUUCUGGAAGCUGGAAGUCCAAGAUCAAGGUGCUGGCUGAUUCAGUUCCUGAUGCUGCAUUUGCUUCUAAAGUGGAAACCCAGCCAGGGCAAUGUUGAAGGCAGGCAGCUGCCAAUGGUGGGAUGCCAGGCAUCUGAGCAUAAACCUGAGCCCAGAAGGAUGGGGAUGGCCUGCCAGGACAAUCAACUGCAGAAGACAGGGCUUCCUGCUCUCCAAUUCCCAAAUUAGAAAAACCAUCAGCUCUGAAUGGCCUCAAGAGCUUAACUUCUAAGGCCUCCCCUGGGGCUGGCCUCCCAUGCGUUGCACUUGUCCUGGUGGUUGCAGAUACCAAGUUGCCUCAUUGCCAUUGAAGGGAUGAACACACAGAGCACUCCGAUGUUAUUGCUUCUUAGGAGCCCGGAUGGAGCCGGCUCGUGUACACUCACAGAAAGUCACUUAUUUGCUUAUCGCUUCUUGAGUCUCAAGCACAAUCUCUUUGGAGGAUUGAUGGGCUGAUGGGGCAACAAUUCAAUGCCAAGAUAAUCCAGCCACAAUAACAAGCAAGCCUUCAGAAGCACUGAAAUAAUUGCAUGGUCUAAGAGUUGGCUCCAAACAGUGAUUAACGCAGGAGCGGCAGCCUUUUCAGAGACCCUCACUGGCCGCACAAAAGAAUCAGGCUCUGUGCUGAUAAAGGAGCAUUUCCAGCCAGUGCAGCUGAUAAUUAAGUGGCCUUGUCAGAAGGCUUCGAUGUUUACCGAUGCGGUGGGAAGAUGUGAGUGAAAACAUACAUUUAAAAGGAGAGGAAAAGAAUAUUAAGAAUUGCCUUUAAAACCACUUUGAUGUCAACAAACUUAAAAACAUGCUGCAAAAAUAAGACACACAAUCCUUUACUGAAGGCAUCAUUAUAAAAAUGUGGCUGAGCUUGACAGAAGCCUGAAGGGUACUUUUGUGGGAUUUCUAAUGCUUAUGUACAUGCACUAUUGAAUUUUUAGGUAUGUAAAUCGUGGCUUAGUGAGGAUGGAGGUUGUUUAUUUAACAAAGGGACAGACAGGGCUCAAAUGCACUUAGAAUGAAGAGACUCAGGCUUGGCCAGGAAGCCUCCAUGUCCACAGCGAAAUUGCUUUGCCAUUAGACCAGAUUGAGCCAGUGAUAAGCAAAGUUAAUGCACCACGUCAUCCUCUUCACAGCGAAUAACGCUCAGCAUGCCUGGAAUCAUCUCCUUGUUUAUUACAAGCCAUGCAACCCUUAUCAGCACCCGCAUUUAUGCACAUCGUGAUUAUUAAACAGCAAACAACAGAUUAUGAUUCCAGUGUCUGAUCAGGUGAAUGUGGGUAUCCAUCAGCAGCCGCCAAGUUAUCUGCAGAGGGGCAGUGCCGUCCCUCAGAGCUCCAGCUUCGAUACAGAGUUUCCUGUGCUCAGAUCCUAGCUGGGCAGCUACUAGCUGUGCAAACUUGAGCAAGUUCCUUUCUCCCUCCCCGUGUCAAUUUCAUCUGCAGUAUGAGGAUGAUAGGGUGGAAGACUGAAUAUAAAAAUGGACAAUGGCAGGACCAUAUAUGACAUUAGAAUGCUGACCCACUUCCUCUGCAAAGACCAGCCCAGGAAAGCAAGCUACAGUUUCUGCAAUCAGUGCAGAAGAGUCAGGACUUGGUAAUGUUUGCCCUCACUUUCUACUCAAGAUCAACCAGAGGCAGCCAAAUAUGGGCCCCAGAAUAAUCCUGGAAUAUGUGCUGCUUCUAGUUAUCCCACACAGCCUCCAAUCUGGGCACACAGGAAGUCUUGCUUUUUUUUCUCUAUAAAUCUUUCCCUCUCG
rnacentral:lncRNA from 1 species